rnacentral:rRNA from 1 species
GCCUGUAAAAUCGGGAUAACGCCGGGAAACCGGGGCUAAUACCGGAUAGUUUUUUCCUCCGCAUGGAGGAAAAAGGAAAGACGGCUUCUGCUGUCACUUACAGAUGGGCCCGCGGCGCAUUAGCUAGUUGGUGGGGUAACGGCUCACCAAGGCAACGAUGCGUAGCCGACCUGAGAGGGUGAUCGGCCACAUUGGGACUGAGACACGGCCCAAACUCCUACGGGAGGCAGCAGUAGGGAAUCUUCCGCAAUGGACGAAAGUCUGACGGAGCAACGCCGCGUGAGUGAAGAAGGCCUUCGGGUCGUAAAACUCUGUUGCCGGGGAAGAACAAGUGCCGUUCGAACAGGGCGGCGCCUUGACGGUACCCGGCCAGAAAGCCACGGCUAACUACGUGCCAGCAGCCGCGGUAAUACGUAGGUGGCAAGCGUUGUCCGGAAUUAUUGGGCGUAAAGCGCGCGCAGGCGGCUUCUUAAGUCUGAUGUGAAAUCUUGCGGCUCAACCGCAAGCGGUCAUUGGAAACUGGGAGGCUUGAGUGCAGAAGAAGAGAGUGGAAUUCCACGUGUAGCGGUGAAAUGCGUAGAGAUGUGGAGGAACACCAGUGGCGAAAGCGGCUCUCUGGUCUGUAACUGACGCUGAGGCGCGAAAACGUGGGGAGCAAACACGAUUAUAUACCCUGGUAGUCCACGCCGUAUACGAUGAGUGCUCAGUGUU